rnacentral:rRNA from 1 species
ACUCUUUGGGAACUGAUAUCUUGGCUUUCGCAUCAAUAAAGAACAUAACACAAUGCGAUAUUUUGUGUGAAUUGCGGAUCAAAUGAAUCAUCGAGUCUUUAAACGCAAGUUAGCGAAGACAUUAGACCGAGGGCAUGUAUGUCUGGGCGUCA